rnacentral:rRNA from 1 species
GACGAACGCUGGCGGCGUGCUUAACACAUGCAAGUCGAACGGAGAGGCCCUGCUUUUGUGGGGUGCUCGAGUGGCGAACGGGUGAGUAACACGUGAGUAACCUGCCCUUGACUUUGGGAUAACUUCAGGAAACUGGGGCUAAUACCGGAUAGGAGCUCCUGCUGCAUGGUGGGGGUUGGAAAGUUUCGGCGGUUGGGGAUGGACUCGCGGCUUAUCAGCUUGUUGGUGGGGUAGUGGCUUACCAAGGCUUUGACGGGUAGCCGGCCUGAGAGGGUGACCGGCCACAUUGGGACUGAGAUACGGGCCAGACUCCUACGGGAGGCAGCAGUGGGGAAUAUUGCACAAUGGGCGGAAGCCUGAUGCAGCAACGCCGCGUGCGGGAUGACGGCCUUCGGGUUGUAAACCGCUUUCGCCUGUGACGAAGCGUGAGUGACGGUAAUGGGUAAAGAAGCACCGGCUAACUACGUG